rnacentral:rRNA from 1 species
GAUGAACGCUAGCGGCAGGCCUAAUACAUGCAAGACGAACGGUAAGUUGAGUAGCAAUACUUAGCCAAGAGUGUCGUACGGGUGCGUAACACGUAUGCAACCUACCCUAUACAGGAGGAUAGCCUAGGGAAACCUGGAUUAACCCUUCAUAGUAUUAUUGGAUGGCAUCAUUUGAUAAUUAAAACUGAGGUGGUAUAGGAUGGGCAUGCGUCUGAUUAGUUAGUUGGCGGGGUAAUGGCCCACCAAGACGAUGAUCAGUAGGGGUUCUGAGAGGAAGAUCCCCCACACUGGCACUGAGAUACGGGCCAGACUCCUACGGGAGGCAGCAGUAGGGAAUAUUGGUCAAUGGAUGCAAGUCUGAACCAGCCAUGCCGCGUGCAGGAAGAAGGCCCUUCUGGGGUUGUAAAACUGCUUUUGCCAGGGGAUAAAAUUUCCAUGCGUGGAAAACUGAAGGUACCUGGUGAAUAAGCCACGGCUAACUACGUGCCAGCAGCCGCGGUAAAU